GGGGGCCCGCACAAGCGGUGGAGCAUGUGGUUUAAUUCGAUGAUACGCGAGGAACCUUACCUGGGCUCAAAUGUAUGUUGACGUAUUCUGAAAGGGAUACUUCUUCGGACAAUAUACAAGGUGCUGCAUGGUUGUCGUCAGCUCGUGCCGUGAGGUGUCGGGUUAAGUCCCAUAACGAGCGCAACCCCUAUCAUUAGUUGCCAUCAGGUCAAGCUGGGGACUCUAAUGAAACUGCCUACGCAAGUAGUGAGGAAGGUGGGGAUGACGUCAAAUCAGCACGGCCCUUACGUCCAGGGCUACACACGUGCUACAAUGGUCGGUACAAAGGGUUGCCAAGCCGCGAGGUGGAGCUAAUCCCAUAAAACCGAUCGUAGUCCGGAUCGCAGUCUGCAACUCGACUGCGUGAAGUCGGAAUCGCUAGUAAUCGUGAAUCAGAAUGUCACGGUGAAUACGUUCCCGGGCCUU
rnacentral:rRNA from 1 species